GCUUCUGUGGCGCAGUGGUUUAGCGCAUCGUGCUUAUAAACGUUUAACACGUCUAUGUUCAAAGCACAGUCGUUUAGAAACGCGAUGGUCGUGGGUUCGAACCCCUCCAGAAGCA
rfam:Pichia pastoris GS115 chromosome 2, complete sequence